AAAAUAUAAUUCUUUUAAGCUCUAGAAAACUCUUGGGCAGCUUCUCAACACGAGAGAAGGGCAUGCAAAGAGCUCUUUGGAUCUCUGCCACAGGCCAGUUAGGGAAGGUUUUGUCCCAGGAGAGUAUUUUCUAUCCAGAGUAAUACCUUGCAGCCUUGGAAGGGACCAUGGGGUCCAGUAUGAAGUCAGAGAAAUGGUGAAAAAUUCAUUUGCCACGUUAGAAGGGAAAUGUCAUUACAUGAAACAAGUACAAGCCUCGGCAUGCCCACACGGAAUACAGACGGCACGUUAAAAACAACAAGGACAGUGGCUGUGACCCCUGGGUGAGACUAAUCAGUCCUACACAAAAAGCUCAAUUAGUUUCUUCAGAUAUGUCCAGGAUAGAAUACCGGUUGGACUUUGGACAGAGAACCAUGUAUGGGUUGGAUAAUGGUCUAAUACUGGAAACUUUUUUUUUUAAAUGAAAAGCUGAGAUUCUCACAGACCAGCAUGGUUUCAGGAGUUGGAGCUGUAAGAAAAACACCAAAUUAUCACAAAAUUGAUAACAAACCAAGAAGAGCUGGCAGCAUUGUUGCUCCCGACCAGCUUAAAGCCAUUUCACUUUGUGGUGCAAGUGAGACCAAAAAGCUGCAUCUUUAAUGUGCCUGAGCAUACCUUUCUGAGCAACUCUAGGCCCAGCUUUUUGCCAAACUGGCCUUCCAGCCACUUGGACUUCGAUUUCUUGAGAGCAUAACCUGUGUCCAUCAGGUUGUCUGGGGUGCCAGAUGUUACCUGUUCCCAUCACCUUUUGGCGUUCCCAUUUCCUGAACACUAUUUUCUCUUUUAACUCCAAACCUCCCCAGUCUGAGCAGAAGUUUUCACUCCGGCACUCUGAGGUGAGACCACAUUCAGCUCUCUCACGUGGUCUGCCAGUCGAACCCAGAAAUACUCUGUUCUGACAGGGGUCUGUAUCUGGGCUGUCCGGAAGUGGGGCAGGAACAGGAUUUGGUUCCCCACAGCACUGUCCAAACUGCUUUGUGCAGUAGAUACUGACAGGGCUGGAAGCAACCCUAACAGGCAUCACAGGCCGUGUUUCCACCCUGGUCUCCAUUGGAGGGUGCGUCUGUAAACUCACACCUACACAGGUUUGCAGCUGUCUCUGAGCACCUCUCUGGCGAGGGAGUGGCCAGCCACUGGACAAACUCGUGUGCGCUCAUGUGGAUUUGAUACAACCGCUUUUGAUUGGAACAGGACAGGGCAAUGCAUGCUCCAACCCGCAGUUGCCCCAGGCCACCACCCUGUAUUAAAUGUGAGCACGGUCACAUUGCAGAGCUGCAUCAGCUGUCCCUGGCCCAGUGCUUUUCAUCCCGGAAUAGCGUGUGACUAAUGUGAAGUCGAGAAUGACUAACGUGGAUCUGGGAGCGGUUCUGAUUGAGAGCUAGAGAAGAACUCUCCUGCCAAAAACUUAACCCCGUGCAGUACAUUCAAAGUGAUUCAGCUGAGAUAAAUUAAUAACCGGCAGUUUACUGUUAGGAAUGCAAAACACAUGAACGCAUGACGCCAGUAACCUUUGCUGCCUGUCAGAGAGCAGAGCUGCAGGUUGUUGUGCUGGUUCUGCCGCGCAUUCUUUCAGGAGGUGACACACCUUGUGAGGUCACAUAUGUUUUCCAAAGCUGUUUUCCAGGUCAGACAGCUUUGGGGACAGUUUCAUCACUAUCUACAAGCUUUACCGUCCUCCCAACUGACCAAUGAUUACAGUUCAGCAGACCUGACCCUUCAGUAGCCCCUCUAGAUGUUGAUCAGCAGACUGGCAGGGGAGCUGUUUACAAUCCCUUCCGUCUGUGCCAUGUGAACCCUGGAGCCCCUUUCAGUGCUUCAGUUGUAACCACAAGCUUUCAGUUGGGCUUGGAGCUCAGCAAAACAAAUCCACUCCCAGGCAACAAUUGGCAUGGAAAGGUUAGCUCCAGGGAUAUUUUUCCCUAUCAAAUCUAGUUUAAAUCAGUUUGAACAUUGCUAGAUUCUUACUGCUCCAGCCCCUGCUCCGCACAUGUUUUCUGACUUCAGAUAUGGCUGAGUUCCUAAUGCAGAAUACAGUAAGGUUUUAUAGGCCACUAUUCCCUAAUACAGGCUGGUAACUUUAAAUAUUCUUAUGCCUUUCUUUAAAAUAAACAUUGCAAACGCUCCUGA